rnacentral:rRNA from 1 species
AACGAACGCUGGCGGCAUGCCUAACACAUGCAAGUCGAACGAUGCCUUCGGGCAUAGUGGCGCACGGGUGCGUAACGCGUGGGAAUCUGCCUUUCGGUUCGGAAUAACUCAGGGAAACUUGAGCUAAUACCGGAUAACGUCGCAAGACCAAAGAUUUAUCACCGAAAGAUGAGCCCGCGUAGGAUUAGCUAGUUGGUGAGGUAAAGGCUCACCAAGGCGACGAUCCUUAGCUGGUCUGAGAGGAUGAUCAGCCACACUGGGACUGAGACACGGCCCAGACUCCUACGGGAGGCAGCAGUGGGGAAUAUUGGACAAUGGGCGAAAGCCUGAUCCAGCAAUGCCGCGUGAGUGAUGAAGGCCUUAGGGUUGUAAAGCUCUUUUACCCGGGAAGAUAAUGACUGUACCGGGAGAAUAAGCCCCGGCUAACUCCGUG